rnacentral:rRNA from 1 species
AGUGAACGCUGGCGGUAGGCCUAACACAUGCAAGUCGAACGGCAGCACAGUAAGAGCUUCCUCUUACGGGUGGCGAGUGGCGGACGGGUGAGGAAUACAUCGGAAUCUACUUUUUCGUGGGGGAUAACGUAGGGAAACUUACGCUAAUACCGCAUACGACCUACGGGUGAAAGCAGGGGAUCUUCGGACCUUGCGCGAUUGAAUGAGCCGAUGUCGGAUUAGCUAGUUGGCGGGGUAAAGGCCCACCAAGGCGACGAUCCGUAGCUGGUCUGAGAGGAUGAUCAGCCACACUGGAACUUGGACACGGUCCAGACUCCUACGGGAGGCAGCAGUGGGGAAUAUUGGACAAUGGGCGCAAGCCUGAUCCAGCCAUACCGCGUGGGUGAAGAAGGCCUUCGGGUUGUAAAGCCCUUUUGUUGGGAAAGAAAAGCAGCAGGUUAAUACCCCGCUGUUCUGACGGUACCCAAAGAAUAAGCACCGGCUAACUUCGUG